AGAGUUUGAUCAUGGCUCAGGAUGAACGCUAGCGGCAGGCCUAAUACAUGCAAGUCGAACGCUCAGUAGCAAUACUGGGAGUGGCGCACGGGUGCGUAACGCGUACACAAUCUACCUCUAAGCGGGGGACACCUCCUGGAAACGGGGAUUAAUACCGCAUAAUAUGCCGAGGUCGCAUGACUUUGGUAUUAAAGCAGCAAUGCACUUAGAGAUGAGUGUGCGUCCCAUUGGGUAGUUGGUGAGGUAAACGGCUCACCAAGCCUAUGAUGGGUAGCCGGUCUGAGAGGAUGGUCGGCCACACGGGCACUGAGACACGGGCCCGACUCCUACGGGAGGCAGCAGUAAGGAAUAUUGGUCAAUGGUGGAAACACUGAACCAGCCAUGCCGCGUGGAGGAAUAAGGUCCUACGGAUUGUAAACUCCUUUUGACGAGGAAGAAAGUGUUAGAUUUAUCUAAUUUUGACGGUACUCGUAGAAUAAGCACCGGCUAACUCCGUG
rnacentral:rRNA from 1 species